UCCAGCAGGAAGGAAGCAAGCACGGUUUGGAUCUGCCCUUGUUUACGUGAGCAUUUACCCCUUGCUAAUGAGCUGCACGUAAAUCUGUGGUAUCUUAAUUACAUCUGACGAGCUGUAAGGUAAACGGCCCCACACGCUGCAGGAGACAGGGGAGACUGAGAGGAAGAAAGGUGUGUUGCAGUCUUAAAGGCAUCGCUAGGAUUGCCAGUGCUACAGAAUGAGCUAAAUUUAGGUGGUAGUGUCAUUAGACACGUGACUGCUUGGAGAUAAGGAAAACGAAAACAGCAAAAAUUUGUCCCAAGUUGUGAUUGGUUUUCAGCAUCUAAACAAAGCCACCUCCAUUUGGGUUGGCAGUCCUGACUUUCCUGGAACUGAGAUGUGAGGUGAUGGCUCAGCUUCUGCAUUUUACAUAGUUCUCCAGAGUACUUGACCUGUAACUCAGGCUCUACCUUGUGUAGCUGGUGUGUCCCAUUCCUGAGACCUUUAGACCUGUGGCAAGGGUUAUUGUUACCUCCCAUGUGUUUGACUGCACAUCUGGCCAAAAGAGAGUGAUCCAGUCAUGUUUCUGCUGUGCUUUCUCCAUGUUUGGGAGCACUUGGACCAGGCUUUGGAAAAGACACAAGAGGAAAUUGUGAACAUUUACUGGGCUCAAAUCUUCGCAUGUGCUGUAGAUGGAAACAAAUAUGGAUGUGGAUUUGAUAACUAUGCUGGACAUGUGCAUGUGCAGGAGAGGUAAGGGGAAGGACAGGUGAUGUUAUCUUUGUUUUCUGCCCUUAAUUGUAUUAGGGUUUAGAGCAACUUA